AACAGACAAAAGAAAAUGAUGAUGUUCGACCUGAGACCAUGGAACUAACUUUUCAGGAAAUCGCUAGUCAGAAUGCAUUAACUAGCUCUUCAGUCUCUAUGGUGCAGUCGUUGCAUAAUAAUUUUGAGCACUCUGAGGAAGGUGUCGGGAAGAAGGAUGGAACUGAUAAUGUAGCAGUGGGUAAGGGAAACAGCCUGACUAAAGCAAAUGAUGUCGAAUUAGAAACUAUGGAACUGACUUUCCAGGAUGAUGCUACUCUGGAUGAGUUAACCAAUUUCUCGCUGUCUAUGGUGCAACCAUCUCAUAGUGCUUUUGAGCAUCCUGAGAGUGAUGACAUGAAGAAGGAUGGGAAUAACCAGCAAGCAGUUUGUCCUGGGUACAGCCUGACUAAAGCAAA
rnacentral:misc_RNA from 1 species